ACAGCUUAUUGCAGUGUGUUGAUAAACCCGUUGUGUGUUUGAUCCGUCAGUGCACAGCUUAUUGCAGUGUGUUGAUAAACCCGUUGUGUGUUUGAUCCGUCAGUGCACAGCUUAUUGCAGUGUGUUGAUAAACCCGUUGUGUGUUUGAUCCGUCAGUGCACAGCUUAUUGCAGUGUGUUGCAUAGUGAAAAAUUGAGGAUGACGUCUGUUGAUUGCAACAUUCCCCUUCUGGUUGCGUCUACACACCAUCUAGAAGUUUUGUUUGUGUCGUCUCUUUCUUCCUGCCUCCUCUUCGACCCCAAGCCCAGAGUUCACAGUUGUCUUGAAAGCACCAUAAAUCCAGAGAAUGCCAGACUUUGAUGACCAAGUUUGAUGACAAAAUUUGCCCACAAAAUACCGCCACUCCACCUUCCUGAACAAGUGAACACAGUACAACAAGGACCUGAGCCCUAGAACCAUGCCCCAGGACUACCUGACAUGAUGACUCCUUGCUGUCCCCA